rnacentral:ncRNA from 1 species
GAUCAAGUGUCAAAAGGGCAUUUGGUGGAUGCCUUGGCAUGCACAGGCGAUGAAGGACGUGAUACGCUGCGAUAAGCCGUGGGGAGCUGCGAAUGAGCUUUGAUCCAUGGAUCUCCGAAUGGGGCAACCCACCUUAAAUACUUGGAAAAUCAUUUUGGUUGUUGGACCUUUGGGUCCGACGGUACGGCGAACGAUCGCCGACGGCCUUUGGCCUUGCGGUGCUUCGCACCGAUCUCGUUUCCCUUGCGAGGGGACGGGUUCGAAGCGGAGCUUCGCAAGCGCAAAGCGCGUCGCCGGUCGUCCGGCGUUAAAAGAAACCAAAAUGGUUUCCAAGUAUUGUUACAAGGUAUCUUAUUCUGAAUACAUAGGGAUAAGAAGCGAACGCAGGGAACUGAAACAUCUAAGUACCUGCAGGAAAGGACAUCAACCGAGACUCCGCAAGUAGUGGCGAGCGAACGCGGACCAGGCCAGUGGCAAUGCGGAAUGAAGUGGAAUGAUCUGGAAAGGUCGGCCGUAGCGGGUGACAGCCCCGUACACGUAGAACACGCAUUGUCCUUGAGUAAGGCGGGACACGUGAAAUCCUGUCUGAACAUGGGGAGACCACUCUCCAAGCCUAAGUACUCGUGCAUGACCGAUAGCGAACAAGUACCGUGAGGGAAAGGUGAAAAGCACCCCGACAAGGGGAGUGAAAUAGAACCUGAAACCGGAUGCCUACAAACAGUCGGAGCCCGCCCUUCAAAUUCCUUGGAGGGGCGUUUCGAAUGUCUCGCCGUUUGCGGCGGGAAUUUGAAAGACUUUAAAGCGCCCUCAAAUGCAAGGCAUUUGAUGGGUGGGUGACGGCGUACCUUUUGUAUAAUGGGUCAACGACUUAGUGUGACAUGCAAGCUUAAGCCGGUAGGUGGAGGCGUAGCGAAAGCGAGUCUGAAUAGGGCGCCUUAGUAUGUCGCAUUAGACCCGAAACCGAGUGAUCUAGCCAUGAGCAGGUUGAAGGUUGGGUAACACCAACUGGAGGACCGAACCCGCAUCUGUUGCAAUAGAUUGGGAUGACUUGUGGCUAGGGGUGAAAGGCCAAUCAAACUCGGAAAUAGCUGGUUCUCCGCGAAAUCUAUUUAGGUAGAGCGUCGACCGAAUACCCCC